UCCACGUUAUUUUCGUCACACAGCAUUCAUCCAAUCAAAUUGCAGGAAAACCAACGAAGAAGAGCUCUCAAACAACGCGCCAGUGAGGAAAAAUUAUGCUAAAAAUAGUUUCGUCCGGGUAUUGAAACUACGACUUGGUCAACAAAAAACAAAUUGCCGUAUGCAAGACAUGCGGUUCGAAGAUUACAGACAGGGACGCACCAACUUCCAAUUUCGUUCGACAUUUGAAGCUGCACAAAGGGAGUCAGGGCAGAGGAGCACAGAAAGUGAGAGGGGAGAGGCCUCUACUGGAAAGGCCCGUUCCAGCUCAGGGACGGACAAAGUGAGGGUGAAGGAGCCAUCAGACUCUGACCUGACAACACGGGCUUCAAAACGAGAGGAGGGGGCGUUGGCGCCUAUCUCAGCUACAAUCGGGCGGAAGGCGGCGUACACCCUGGACAAGUCGCCAUCUCAUCGCAGGGCCAAUCAAUCAAUCAAUCAUCCAUCCAUCCAUUUUCUACCGCUUAUUCCCUUUUGGAGUUGCAGGGGGCGUUGGCGCCUAUCUCAGCUACAAUCGGGCGGAAGGCAGGGUACACCCUGGACAAGUCUCCACCUCAUCGCAGGGCCAACACAGAUAGACAGACAACAUUCACACUCACAUUCACACACUAGGGCCAAUUUAGUGUUGCCAAUCAACCUAUCCCCAGGUGCAUGUCUUUGGAAGUGGGAGGAAGCCGGAGUACCCGGAGGGAACCCACGCAUUCACGGGGAGAACAUGCAAACUCCACACAGAAAGAUCCCGAGCCUGGAUUUGAACCCAGGACUGCAGGAACUUCGUAUUGUGAGGCAGACGCACUAACCCCUCUGCCACCGUGAAGCCUAUCAAUCAAUCAAUCAAUGUUAAUUUAUAUAGCCCUAUUAGCCUAUUAUCCAUUUUCUACCCAUCCAUCCAUUUUCUCCCCUUUCUCCCUUAAUGGUGUCGCUGGGGGUGCCAGAGCCUAUCUCAGCUGCAUUCGGGCGGGAGGCAUGGUACACCCUGGAGAAAUCGCCACCUCAUUGCGGGGGCCAACACAGCAUUCACACUCUCAUUCAUACACUAGGGCCAAUUUGGUGUUGCCAAUCAACCUAUCCCCAGGUGCAUGUCUUUGGAAGUGGGAGGAAGCCGGAGUACCCGGAGGGAACCCACGCAUUCACGGGGAGAACAUGCAAACUCCACACAGAAAGAUCCCGAGCCUGGAUUUGAACCCAGGACUGCAGGAACUUCGUAUUGUGAGGCAGACGCACUAACCCCUCUGCCACCGUGAAGCCUAUCAAUCAAUCAAUCAAUGUUAAUUUAUAUAGCCCUAUUAGCCUAUUAUCCAUUUUCUACCCAUCCAUCCAUUUUCUCCCCUUUCUCCCUUAAUGGUGUCGCUGGGGGUGCCAGAGCCUAUCUCAGCUGCAUUCGGGCGGGAGGCAUGGUACACCCUGGAGAAAUCGCCACCUCAUUGCGGGGGCCAACACAGCAUUCACACUCUCAUUCAUACACUAGGGCCAAUUUGGUGUUGCCAAUCAACCUAUUCUCAGGUGCAUGUUUUUGGAGGUGGGAGGAAGCCGGAGUACCCGGAGGGAACCCAUGCAGUCACAGGUAGAACAUGCAAACUCCACACAGAAAGAUCAAACCCAGAACUUUCGUAUUGUGAGGCAAAUUUGUUAUAUUUAGUACCAUCUUAUGCCCUCCUUCAGUGUUGGUUCAUUUCCCAUUGUAAUGUUUAAGUGUUCUGUUGCUUUGUGAUUUCCUGCUAGACCUCUGUUAGUUUUAUUCUGCCUGGUACCUAAUUAAACAACCUUCUGCUUACCUUCUCUGCAUACUUGAACAUGCCAACGGCAGACAUGUGGCAUCAUGACAAUCAAGUGUCCAAGCAAAGAAUACGAAGCGUUGGUGAAGAACAUAGUGGUAGUUUUAGAGUUGGGACACUGUAGACUGAUUCCA